rnacentral:rRNA from 1 species
AUUGAACGCUGGCGGCAGGCCUAACACAUGCAAGUCGAGCGGAUGAAGGGAGCUUGCUCCUGGAUUCAGCGGCGGACGGGUGAGUAAUGCCUAGGAAUCUGCCUGGUAGUGGGGGAUAACGUCCGGAAACGGGCGCUAAUACCGCAUACGUCCUGAGGGUGAAAGAGGGGGAUCUUCGGACCUCACGCUAUCAGAUGAGCCUAGGUCGGAUUAGCUAGUUGGUGGGGUAAAGGCCUACCAAGGCGACGAUCCGUAACUGGUCUGAGAGGAUGAUCAGUCACACUGGAACUGAGACACGGUCCAGACUCCUACGGGAGGCAGCAGUGGGGAAUAUUAGACAAAGGGCGAAAGCCUGAUCCAGCCAUGCCGCGUGUGUGAAGAAGGUCUUCGGAUUGUAAAGCACUUUAAGUUGGGAGGAAGGGCAGUAAGUUAAUACCUUGCUGUUUUGACGUUACCAACAGAAUAAGCACCGGCUAACUUCGUG